CCCCCAAAAUAUAUAUACACUUUGAAUGAUUAUAAAGUCAAUGUUUAUUAACACACAGUUCAUUUUCAAAAUUUAAAAGAGUCUGUAGGAAUGAAUACUUUUUUUGUCAAUGCCUUUUUUCACAUUGAUGACCGUUCUGGUCCAGGCAUUGCUGAUAAUGUGAAGCAAUGGAAUCUCCAACAUCACGAGUCAUUUUGUUCGCUAUUGUGUGCCCUCAAUUCAUCAACUGUUGCCAGUUUUGUACUGUAGCAUUAUCUUUUAUGUAUUGCCAUAAAAAAAAAGCAUAAUGGCACAUU